rnacentral:ncRNA from 1 species
UUAAAUAAGAGUUUGAUCCUAGCUCAGGAUGAACGCUGGCGGCGUGGAUAAGGCAUGCAAGUCACGGGGGCGUGUGUAGCACACAGCUUGUAAAGUUCAUAAAGUUAUAAGGUUUGUAAAGUGGGAGGGUAUUUGUUGCUGUCUGCGCUUUAUAAACUUUAUAAACUUUUUACUUUGUAACCUGCGCGCUAUGCGCGCAACCGGCAGACGAGGUAGUAAUAAGCAGGAAUCUACCGUAGAGUCGGGCAUAGCUAGCCGAAAGGUUAGGUAAUUCCCGAUAGCCCGAGCAUUGAUUUUUGGGUGAUAUAUAAAAAAGAUGAAAAAAAGACACCCAAGCCGUGUGGCCGAGGUGUGGUGAGUACUAACGCAGUGCGAACAUCGCAAGGCUGUAAAUAAUCCAGCCGAUACCCCCCAUGACCAUGAAGGCGAGGGGAGCUGUUGCGACAAGUACGGAAGCGAUUUCCGCACGAGGUGGGGGAGCAGUCACGUAAGAAUACGUGCACGCUCUGGACUUGGUAGUUUUCAUCUAGUUACAACUAUAUCAUAACUCUUGAAUUAAUCAAGAGCCUAAAAAUCAGUGUUCGGUAAAGGUUUACCGCUCUAUGAAGAGCCUGCUCAGUAUCAGCUAGUUGGUAGGGUAAUGGCCUACCAAGGCGACGACGCUUAGGGGGGGUGAGAGCCUGUUCCCCACCGAUGGAACUGAGAAACGGUCCAUACACCUACGGGUGGCCGCAGCCGAGAAUAUUCGACAAUGGGCGAAAGCCUGAUCGAGCGACGCCGCGUGAUCGAUGAAGUCCUUCGGGAUGUAAAGAUCUUUUAUAGGGGAGGAAGCGUGCGAAGCACGCAGUUUGUAAAGUAAAAAGUCUAUAAAGUUUGUAAAGUAAGAACAAAACUCUGCUUUAUGAACUUGUAACUUGAUAAACUUUAUAACUUGCGCGCUUCGCGCGAUUGACGUUACCCUAUGAAUAAGAGGUUGCUAAACUCGUGCCAGCAGCAGCGGUAAUACGAGUGCCUCAAGCGUUAUCCGGAAUCAUUGGGCGUAAAGGGUGUGUAGGCGGUUGUGUUAGUCUUCUGUGAAAUUCUUCGGCUUAACCGGGGGUCCGCAGAGGAUACGGCACGACUUUGAGGGUGCGAGAGGUGUGCGGAACUCUAGGUGUAGGGGUGAAAUCCGUUGAUAUCUAGGGGAACGCCAAAAGCGAAGGCAGCACACUGGCGCAUUUCCUGACGCUGAAACACGAAAGCGUGGGGAGCGAAUGGGAUUAGAUAAUCCCCGCCCGCUCGUAAAAUGUAGGCAAAAGGUGUCUCUCCCGAAAGCGAUUUCGGGAUGU